rnacentral:rRNA from 1 species
AUUGAACGCUGGCGGCAGGCCUAACACAUGCAAGUCGAGCGAGAGGCGGACGGGUGAGUAAUGUAUGGGGACUGCCCGAUAGAGGGGGGUAAAUACUGGAAACGGUAGCUAAUACCGCAUACUAUCGGAUAACCCAUGUGGGAUUAGCUAGUAGGUGAGGUAAUGGUGAACCUAGGCGACGAGCCCUAGCUGGGCUGAGAGGAUGAUAAGCCACACUGGGACUGAGACACGGCCCAGACUCCGACGGAGGCAGCAGUGGGGAAUAUUGAGCAAUGGGCGCAAGCCUGAUGCAGCCAUGCCGCGUGUAUGAAGAAGGCCCUAGGGUUGUAAAGUACUUUCAGUCGGGAGGCGUUACCGACAGAAGAAGCACCGGCUAACUCCGUGCCAGCAGCCGCGGUAAUUC